rnacentral:lncRNA from 1 species
UUACGCUCUCCGUCUAUAAAAAGAGACCCCCAGAUACGUUCUUCUCUAAGCUCAAAACUCUAUCUCGAAACUUUGCCAAAAUCUCAUUUGAGUGCUCCAUUUCUAUUGAAGUAGAAUACUGACUUCUCUUGCCGGAGCACUCCCAACUCCGGUUUAGACUUCUCUUGCUCCAUCCGAUGGUGGCCGCAGUAAUCUCGACUCCAGCUUCUCCAACGUCGGCGGAAUUUUGCACCAACACAACGGAUGAUAUGAAUUUAUGAUGCUUGGAGAUCUAUAUGGUGUGUGAUUGAAGGGUUGAUGUCGCAAAAGAAGAUCAAUCAUUCUUAUGCAU